GAGCAUUAUGAUGAUGUCAUCAUUAUUGGACAGAAUUUUCAAGGUGUAAGGGAGUUAGAUCAGGAGGAGUAUGAUGAUGUGAAGAACAGCAAUGGAAAUGAAAGAGACCUGUUGGACUAUGAUAAUGUGGAGGAGGGGUCAAAUAAAGAGGGAGGAGCCAUAUGAGUGACCACACCCACUGCCUCUGUUC